GCCGCGAGGCAAACAAGGCAUUUGUCUUGGGCAGCAUUUUCCAGGACAAAUGCCCACGACAAAUGCCUUGUUAGCCUUGCGGCUAAC